GGAACAAUGUUUAUCGUCACGGCAACGUGUUACGGUUUCUAUGUGUGUGGACUUGACGACAAGUUAUUGGUCACGUACACAUGGUCAGCAGGUGUUAAUGGUCAGCAGGUGUUAAUGGUCAGCAUGUGUUAAUGGUCAGCAUGUGUUAAUGGUCAGCAGGUGUUAAUGGUCAGCAUGUGUUAAUGGUCAGCAGGUGUUAAUGGUCAGCAUGUGUUAAUGGUCAGCAUGUGUUAAUGGUCAGCAUGUGUUAAUGGUCAGCAGGUGUUAAUGGUCAGCAUGUGUUAAUGGUCAGCAUGUGUUAAUGGUCAGCAUGUGUUAAUGGUCAGCAUGUGUUAAUGGUCAGCAUGUGUUAAUGGUCAGCAUGUGUUAAUGGUCAGCAGGUGUUAAUGGUCAGCAUGUGUUAAUGGUCAGCAUGUGUUAAUGGUCAGCAUGUGUUAAUGGUCAGCAGGUGUUAAUGGUCAGCAUGUGUUAAUGGUCAGCAUGUGUUAAUGGUCAGCAUGUGUUAAUGGUCAGCAGGUGUUAAUGGUCAGCAGGUGUUAAUGGUCAGCAUGUGUUAAUGGUCAGCAGGUGUUAAUGGUCAGCAUGUGUUAAUGGUCAGCAGGUGUUAAUGGUCAGCAUGUGUUAAUGGUCAGCAGGUGUUAAUGGUCAGCAUGUGUUAAUGGUCAGCAUGUGUUAAUGGUCAGCAGGUGUUAAUGGUCAGCAUGUGUUAAUGGUCAGCAGGUGUUAAUGGUCAGCAGGUGUUAAUGGUCAGCAUGUGUUAAUGGUCAGCAGGUGUUAAUGGUCAGCAUGUGUUAAUGGUCAGCAUGUGUUAAUGGUCAGCAGGUGUUAAUGGUCAGCAUGUGUUAAUGGUCAGCAGGUGUUAAUGGUCAGCAGGUGUUAAUGGUCAGCAUGUGUUAAUGGUCAGCAUGUGUUAAUGGUCAGCAGGUGUUAAUGGUCAGCAGGUGUUAAUGGUCAGCAGGUGUUAAUGGUCAGCAGGUGUUAAUGGUCACGUACACAUGGUCACGUACACAUGGUCAGCAGGUGUUAAUGGUCAGCAGGUGUUAAUGGUCAGCAUGUGUUAAUGGUCAGCAGGUGUUAAUGGUCAGCAGGUGUUAAUGGUCAGCAGGUGUUAAUGGUCAGCAGGUGUUAAUGGUCAGCAGGUGUUAAUGGUCACGUACACAUGGUUAGCAGAUGUUAAUGGUCACGUACACAUGGUUAGCAGUUGUUAAUGGUCACAUACACAUGGUUAGCAGUUGUUAAUGGUCACAUACACAUGGUUAGCAGAUGUUAAUGGUCAGCAGGUGUUAAUGGUCACGUACACAUGGUUAGCAGAUGUUAAUGGUCACGUACACAUGGUUAGCAGUUGUUAAUGGUCACAUACACAUGGUUAGCAGUUGUUAAUGGUCACAUACACAUGGUCAGCAGGUGUUAAUGGUCAGCAGGUGUUAAUGGUCACGUACACAUGGUUAGCAGAUGUUAAUGGUCACGUACACAUGGUUAGCAGUUGUUAAUGGUCACAUACACAUGGUUAGCAGUUGUUAAUGGUCACAUACACAUGGUUAGCAGAUGUUAAUGGUCACAUACACAUGGUCAGCAGAUGUUAAUGGUCACAUACACAUGGUUAGCAGAUGUUAAUGGUCACAUACACAUGGUUAGCAGAUGUUAAUGGUCACAUACACAUGGUCAGCAGAUGUUAAUGGUCAGCAGGUGUUAAUGGUCAGCAGGUGUUAAUGGUCACGUACACAUGGUUAGCAGAUGUUAAUGGUCACGUACACAUGGUUAGCAGUUGUUAAUGGUCACAUACACAUGGUUAGCAGAUGUUAUUGGUCACAUACACAUGGUUAGCAGAUGUUAUUGGUCACAUACACAUGGUUAGCAGUUGUUAAUGGUCACAUACACAUGGUUAGCAGAUGUUAAUGGUCACAUACACAUGGUCAGCAGAUGUUAAUGGUCACAUACACAUGGUUAGCAGAUGUUAAUGGUCACAUACACAUGGUUAGCAGAUGUUAAUGGUCACAUACACAUGGUUAGCAGAUGUUAAUGGUCACAUACACAUGGUCAGCAGAUGUUAAUGGUCACGUACACAUGGUCAGCAGAUGUUAAUGGUCACAUACACAUGGUUAGCAGAUGUUAAUGGUCACGUACACAUGGUCAGCAGAUGUUAACGCGAGUGUAGCGAAAUGCUUGUACUUCUCGUUCCGACAGUGCAGUGAUAUCUAACAUUUUCACAACAACUACCUAAUACACACAAAUCUAAGUAAAGACCUCAAGUUAGGAUUCUCAACAGGAAAUUGU